rnacentral:rRNA from 1 species
AUGCAGCACAUCUUCUCCUUCGGGCUGGCAACUGGGAAGCAUGCCAUGGGCUCGGGGGAGCCUCUUGGUUCUCCCAUGCCCGACUUCCCUGGGACCCCGGACGUCGAGAUCCUUGAUGGCCCCGACAAGCCCGCUGCGAAGCCCUUCGACAAGCCAUUUUACCCCGUUGAUAGGAAGGGGAAGAGAGGAGGCCUGAUGGAGGAGGAGAUCAAUGUCUUCUGCAGCAUGACUGAGGCGGUGAAGGAGGUGGCAACAACCAUCAGGGAGUGCAAGCCCCUCGACGUCCACCCUGACCUGUAUGGCACUGUCAUGACCCAGGGUGGCUUUAGCGACGACGCUCUCAUGGCAGCUCACAGCCACCUGCUUGACAACAAGGCCCAGGGUGUUGGAUUCGUUGCCAUGGCCGACGCUCACAGGGUGUUGUGGCUCAGGAGCUGGCUGGGCAAGCACUACUACUAG